AGAGUUUGAUCCUGGCUCAGGAUGAACGCUGGCGGCGUGCUUAACACAUGCAAGUCGAACGGUGAAGCCAAGCUUGCUUGGUGGAUCAGUGGCGAACGGGUGAGUAACACGUGAGCAACCUGCCCUGGACUCUGGGAUAAGCGCUGGAAACGGCGUCUAAUACUGGAUAUGAGCUCUCAUCGCAUGGUGGGGGUUGGAAAGAUUUUUCGGUCUGGGAUGGGCUCGCGGCCUAUCAGCUUGUUGGUGAGGUAAUGGCUCACCAAGGCGUCGACGGGUAGCCGGCCUGAGAGGGUGACCGGCCACACUGGGACUGAGACACGGCCCAGACUCCUACGGGAGGCAGCAGUGGGGAAUAUUGCACAAUGGGCGGAAGCCUGAUGCAGCAACGCCGCGUGAGGGAUGACGGCCUUCGGGUUGUAAACCUCUUUUAGCAGGGAAGAAGCGAGAGUGACGGUACCUCAG
rnacentral:rRNA from 1 species